rnacentral:tRNA from 2 species
CGGGGCGUGGCGCAGUCCGGUUAGCGCACUAGACUGGGGGUCUAGGGGUCGCUGGUUCAAAUCCAGUCGCCCCGA